GAUGAACGCUGGCGGCGUGCCUAAUACGUGCAAGUCGAGCGAAUGGAUUAAGAGCUUGCUCUUAUGAAGUUAGCGGCGGACGGGUGAGUAACACGUGGGUAACCUGCCCAUAAGACUGGGAUAACUCCGGGAAACCGGGGCUAAUACCGGAUAACAUUUUGAACCGCAUGGUUCGAAAUUGAAAGGCGGCUUCGGCUGUCACUUAUGGAUGGACCCGCGUCGCAUUAGCUAGUUGGUGAGGUAACGGCUCACCAAGGCAACGAUGCGUAGCCGACCUGAGAGGGUGAGCGGCCACACUGGGACUGAGACACGGCCCAGACUCCUACGGGAGGCAGCAGUAGGGAAUCUUCCGCAAUGGACGAAAGUCUGACGGAGCAACGCCGCGUGAGUGAUGAAGGCUUUCGGGUCGUAAAACUCUGUUGUUGGGGAAGAACAAGUGCUAGUUGAAUAAGCUGACACCUUGACGGUACCUAACCAGAAAGCCACGGCUAACUACGUGCCAGCCGCCGCCGUAA
rnacentral:rRNA from 1 species